CCUACGGGAGGCUGCAGUGAGGAAUAUUGGUCAAUGGGCGGAAGCCUGAACCAGCCAAGUAGCGUGCAGGAUGACGGCCCUACGGGUUGUAAACUGCUUUUAUACGGGAAUAACGCGCCUUACGUGUAGGGCUUUGCAUGUACCGUCUGAAUAAGGGCCGGCUAAUUCCGUGCCAGCAGCCGCGGUAAGACGGAAGGUCCGGGCGUUAUCCGGAUUUAAUGGGGUUAAAGGGGGCGUAGGCCGCAUGGCAAGCGUGCUGUGAAAUGUCCGGGCUCAACCCGGGCCUUGCAGCGCGAACUGGCGUGCUUGAGUCCGCGGAAAGCAGGCGGAAGUCGUGGUGUAGCGGUGAAAUGCUUAGAUAUGACGAAGAACCCCGAUUGCGAAGGCAGCUUGCUGCAGCGGAACUGACGCUGAUGCUCGAAAGCGCGGGUAUCGAACAGGAUUAGAUACCCUAGUAGUC
rnacentral:rRNA from 1 species